GACGAACGCUGGCGGCGUGCUUAACACAUGCAAGUCGAGCGGUAAGGCCCUUUCGGGGGGUACACGAGCGGCGAACGGGUGAGUAACACGUGGGCGACCUACCCUCAGCUUCGGGAUAAGCCUGGGAAACUGGGUCUAAUACCGGAUAUGACCUUCCCUCGCAUGGGGGUUGGUGGAAAGUUUUUUCGGCUGGGGAUGGCCCGCGGCCUAUCAGCUUGUUGGUGGGGUGAUGGCCUACCAAGGCGACGACGGGAGCCGGCCUGAGAGGGCGACCGGCCACACUGGGACUGAGAUACGGGCCCAGACUCCUACGGGAGGCAGCAGUGGGGAAUAUUGCGCAAUGGGCGGAAGCCUGACGCAGCGACGCCGCGUGGGGGAUGACGGCCUUGGUUGUAAC
rnacentral:rRNA from 1 species